rnacentral:rRNA from 1 species
UCCCGGUCAGGAGAGGAAGUAAAAGUGGUAACAAGGUCUCCGUAGGAGGACCAGCGGAGGGAUCAUUACCGAGAAAACUACUCCCAAACCCCGGUGAACAUACAAAUCAUUGCUUCGGCGGGUCUCGCCCCGGCGCCCUCGGGCCCGGAUCCAGGAGUCCGCUAGAGGACCCCAAAUUCCAAUUAAUAUGAGAAUCUUAAGAGUGACACAAGUAAAUGAAUCAAAACUUUCAACAACGGAUCUCUUGGUUAAGGCAUCGAUGAAGAACGCAGCGAAAUGCGAUAAGUAAGGUGAAGGCAGAAUUCCGUGAAUCAUUGAAUCUUUGAACGCACAUUGCGCCCGCCAGUAUUCUGGCGGGCAAAUUUGUUCGAGCGUCAGUUCAACCCUCAAGCCCCCGGAAUCGGUGUUGGGGCUCGGCCCGUCCCCCGUGGCGCGCCGUCCCCGAAAUCCAGUGGCGGUCUCGCGAUAGCCUCUUAUGAGUAGUAGCAAUAUAUCGCACUGGGACUGAGCAAGGCCACGCCGUUAACCCCCCCACUUGGGAAAGGUUGACCUCGGAUCAGGUAGGAAUACCUU